rnacentral:lncRNA from 13 species
AGCUUACUGAGACAUUUCCUUUUCUGAAAAGCAAAUGUCAGGGCAGCCUCGUAUCUGAGACACAUCUCCCUGGUGACUGCGGGUUACCCCCAGGCUGUGUUGCCCUGCUCCCGCAGCCCUGUCCCCUGUCCUCCCUGAUUCCCUGUUCCAGGAGCACACGCAUUACAGCCCGUCAGAAAAGCUUUCACAGAAGAUUUGUCUGGUCAGGAAAAGAGAACUUACCCAAACCAAAGCACUGUGCAGGAAUGUGCAGGUGCCGCAGCAGCACCUAAGGCUGAAGGGCGCCCAGAGACGGAACUUGCCCGCUGGCUUCAGGGCGAGGAAUCGCUGGGAGGGGCACGGUGUGAACCGGGACACGUGUGACACCUCCCCUGUGACACCUCCUCUGGGAAUAAACCACGGCUCCCCAGCCUGGCUUCUCCCUGCCUGCGAGCCCAGGAACUGCAGAACACAGCAGCCAGAGCACAUCUGCUGAUGGCAAAUUUAGGAAGACAAUAUCCUUGUUAGCCUGUCAGAAUUCCAAAAGGUUUCUGACAAAAGCAAACGCCCCGGUUCUUUCAGGUGGGAAUCCUGUUGCUUUAACUCCCUCCUAACACACGCAGCCCCCCCUCUGAAGCGCGGGGUGGGAUGGGUGGAUACGGGCUGUAACCAGGAGGGUGCAGCCCGGUUCUCAAAUCAGCCAGUAAUUAUCCCCUUAAUUGAAAACAGGUCUCACCUCCAGCUUGUGGCUUUCCCAGCGGCGGCAGGAAAGAGGCAGGAGGCAGAGCCAGCAAUUCCUGCAUUUGCCCGUGAGGAACCUUCCGGGGGAUUUAGGUGAUUCAGGGAGAUCCCACGAAUGUCUCUGCGUGAGAGUGUCCCACCCUGAACGUCGCCUUUGGGCACUGGAAGCAGCUCAGCCAAAGCCCUGUGUGCUCCUUCCAGGCCUGGAUUGUGUUCCCUGUGAACCAAGGAUCGCCCGGACACAGAUCAGGGCACCACUACCAGCCCCUUCCAGCACAUGCUGUGGUCACUGAGCAGAAAGCACAAUCCAUGGAGCAAAAGCAGCAGUGAGAGGCCCUGCAGCACCAGUUUGUGUAAGUGACAGGUUUUGAUGCUCUUUGCAAUCCGUUCUCAGGAAUUAAAAGCAGCUCAGCCCUUGCAGCCGGACUCACGCACCCUUGCUGCCCGCUCAGCCUUUUCCUGGGAUCCUUUAGGUGGGAGAAGGGUCCACACGAGAACCCAAAUGUGAAUUCCUGCUGCCACACCUGGCCCAGCAUCCCUGGCUGCACUCUCUUUCCCCUGCACAGGCUGGAAAUGCUCUCCAGGGGGAUUUUCUGCUUCGUCACAAUUCCAGCCCUUGGGCUGGGCACUGGAUCGCCUCUGCAAUUAAGUUUUAUUCUUUUACACAUCAUCGACCUUCAAGCCGAUUUCUGAGAUGCACCUUCAAGGGAGUCCUACAGAGCAAAACCAAUCAUUCCAUUGGACACUGCGUCCCCAAAGCGUCUGUGUCCAGUGAGGAAUCUGCAAGCGCUGCUUCAAUUCAAAACCUAUCGCUGUUCAUCAGAAAAUCCCAGAAACAGUUACGCAACUUGGAUUUCCACACACUUUACUAAAAUUAGCAAGAUUUUCAGCAGUUUUUCAGUCAUUUGGGAGCUUGAGAGAACCAUUUCUAGAAUUUUAUUUGCAGACCUUGCAGCAGCAUUCAAUAUUUAUAAGGAAUUCCCUGUCUUAGUAGCAACGACUGACAGUUACAAAAAAUAAGUACAUUAUAAAAUGCAUUAAUAUUUUAAGUCUGCCUGAGACUGCUGGAGGAAGAUAUUGCCAGCUCUUGCCUGACUGGCUGAUAUUUAGUUCACACAAGUAACUGACAAAAGGAGACAUAUCUAGGAGGGAAAAGAGAGGGUGUAUAAGAAACUGCAACAGCUACAGUGAAAGAUUUGUCUGUGUUUACACAAUAAAUCAGCAGCAGAAUCAGGAAAAGAACCUUUUUUUCCUGUUUUUGUUCCAGCCACUCAUUCAGUGCUGUUAUGCACUCAGAUAUUGCUUUUGGGUUCUGAAUAAAACCCCUCCUCAUCCUCCAAAUAAAAUGUUGAGGUUGUGCUGAAUCCAGGUUUUCCCACAAAAAUACAAAUAACUCACAUUUAAUGAUGCAGCUGAGAGAAAAGAUAAAUCUUGAGCUGGCUGUAAUAAAGUGCUUUUUCCUGAACCCUCCUGCCUGCUGGGUGCCGGCAGUGCUGGCCACGAGCCACGGCUGUUUACGGUGCCAGCGUGGCUGUCCCACACUCCUGAGCAUCUGCACAUUUUGUUCCUGGCAUAUUUGUGUCUGUGGAGCCAGCUGACCUUGAAACUCUCAUCAGAGGGAGGGAAAAAAAAAAAAAAAUCAGCAGCCAGGAGCUACCACCCUCCAUAUAUUCCAGUUAUUAUCAGAAUAUUUUUCCUCUGUUCAGUUUGCGCAGAAAUGACAUUCAAUAACACCGAAAAUGUU